rnacentral:rRNA from 1 species
UACGGGAGGCAGCAGUGGGGAAUAUUGGGCAAUGGGCGAAACCCUGACGCAGCAACGCCGCGUGAAGGAUGAAGGUUUUCGGAUUGUAAACUUCUUUUAUCAGGGACGAAACAUGACGGUACCUGAUGAAUAAGCUCCGGCUAACUACGUGCCAGCAGCCGCGGUAA